rfam:Sharpea azabuensis strain DSM 20406 genome assembly, contig: Ga0059086_1056
UCUUACGACCUACUUGGUUCUUGCUAUGUUUAUAUUAUAGGAGGAAAUGAUAAAUGUUAACUAAAGAAGAAAAAGCUGCAAUUGUUGAAAAGUAUGCACGUGGUGCU